rnacentral:rRNA from 1 species
CCUACGGGGGGCAGCAGUCGAGAAUCAUUCACAAUGGGGGAAACCCUGAUCGUGCGACGCCGCGUGGGGGAAUGAAGGUCUUCGGAUUGUAAACCCCUGUCAUGUGGGAGCAAAUUAAAAAGAUAGUACCACAAGAGGAAGAGACGGCUAACGCUGUGCCAGCAGCCGCGGUAAUACAGAGGACUCAAGCGUUGUUCGGAAUCACUGGGCGUAAAGCGUGCGUAGGCUGUUUCGUAAGUAGUGUGUGAAAGGCGGGGGCUCAACCCGCGGACGGCACAUGAUACUGGGAGACUAGAGUAAUGGAGAGGUAGGCGGAAUUCUCGGUGUAGCGGUGAAAUGCGUAGAUAUCGAGAGGAACACUCGUGGCGAAGGCAGGUUCCUGGACAUUAACUGACGCUGAGGCACGAAGGCCAGGGGAGCGAAAGGGAUUAGAUACCCCAGUAGUC